rnacentral:rRNA from 1 species
CGCUAACACCGAAUAAUGCAGCGGGGCACAUGGUGACAGUUGUUACAGCGGGGGAUUUUCGGACCUCGCGCCUGAAGAGGAGCCUGCGGCAGAUUAGCUAGUUGGUAAGGUAACGGCUUACCAAGGCGACGAUCUGUAACCGGGCUGAGACGGCGGUCGGUCACACUGACACUGACAUACGGGUCAGACUCCUACGGGAGGCCGCAGUCGGGAAUUUCGGGCACUGGGCGAAAGCCUGACCCAGCAACGCCGAGUGAAGGAUGAAAUCCCUCGGGAUGUAAACUUCGCAAGACUGGGAAGAAUGAACGAGCGCUAACCCCGUUCGUGAUGACGGUACCAUUUGUAAGCUCCGGCUAACUCCGUGCCAGCAGCCGCGGUAAUAAGGGGGGAGCAAGCGUUGUACGGAUUUACUGGGC